rnacentral:rRNA from 1 species
AAACUUUCAACAACGGAUCUCUAGGCUCUUGCAUCGAUGAAGAACGCAGUGAAAUGCGAUACGUAAUGUGAAUUGCAGAAUCUCGUGAAUCAUUGAAUCUUUGAACGCACAUUGCGCCCUAUGGUAUUCCGUAGGGCAUGCCUGUCUGAGCGUCAGCA